rnacentral:rRNA from 1 species
GACGAACGCUGGCGGCGUGCUUAACACAUGCAAGUCGAACGGAAAGGCCCUGCUUGCUGGGUCCUCGAGUGGCGAACGGGUGAGUAACACUUGGGUGAUCUGCCCUGCACUUCGGGAUAAGCCUGGGAAACUGGGUCUAAUACCGGAUAGGAGCCAUUUUUAGUGUGAUGGUUGGAAAGUUUUUUCGGUGUAGGAUGAGCUCGCGGCCUAUCAGCUUGUUGGUGGGGUAAUGGCCCACCAAGGCGGCGACGGGUAGCCGGCCUGAGAGGGUGGACGGCCACAUUGGGACUGAGAUACGGCCCAGACGCCUACGGGAGGCAGCAGGGGGGAAGAUUGCACAAGGGGCGCAAGCCGGAUGCAGCGACGCCGCGUGGGGGAUGACGGCCUUCGGGUUGUAAACGCCUUUCGCUAGGGACGAAGCUUUUUGUGACGGUACCUAGAUAAGAAGCACCGGCUAACUACGUG